GGAAGGCUGUAGUUGAGGGAUAAAGCACCUGCUUUGCAUGCAGAAAGUUGCCAGGUUCAAUCCCUGGCAUCUCCA